rnacentral:lncRNA from 1 species
UGUUAAUCAGUAACUCUGUCUUAUAGGAAAAUUGAAGCAUUCACUAUGAACAGUUGAAGUCACCAGAUGCAGUGAAUGACACAAGCACGAGAUCAUAGCUUGUCCUGCAUUGGGAUGUAACAUCUGGUGUUCUUCAGCAGAAACAAAGGCAACAGUUAAUAGUUUAUCAGCACAAUCAUUACCAUAAGUAAGUGGACCUGAGAGGAUUAAUUCUUUCUCGAAGGAGCCAAUGAAGAGCCUGCAACAAUCCAAAAACAGGAGAAGAUGCACAAAGUACAGCUAUGGGAAGUAGAG